rnacentral:snRNA from 1 species
GUAAAGCCAGAGGAAACUCUGGUGGAAG